GCUUACGGCCACACCACCCUGAAAACAUCCGAUCUCGGAAACUAAGCAGGGUCGGGCCUGGUUAAUACUUGAAUGGAAGACCGCCUGGGAUUACCAGGUGCUGUAAGCU
rnacentral:rRNA from 1 species